AUCAUUAAUAUGACCGAUUAUUUGAAUGGUCCAACCUCAUUCGGUCGAACCUUCAAGUCGGUUUCGGACGGCAUCGGAUAAUAAUACAAUGCCAUAAAUAGACAGAGAAGAAAGCCACGAAAAUGGCGCUUCUUCUUCUUCAUCAGAAACCAACAUCCUAUCCCUCAGCCAACUCUCUCCCACCCAAUCUCCUGAAGAAAACCAGAAGAAACAAACAUCACCUGAGUUUUCGUUUCCUGCCGUUGUUCAUCAAGACCUCUGAAUCAAAAGGAUUAUUGACAUCUGAAUCGAAAGUUUCGAUCAGAAAAUGGAGAGGCGAUAACACAGAACAGAGCAUUCUCCGUUGCCGUCAGGGUCGCCGGAGGGAGAGGGGAAAGAAAAUUUCUCCGAUGGGUUCUUCUAUAGCGAGGAAACUGGUCUUCUG
rnacentral:lncRNA from 1 species